GGAGGGGCGUCUGCCCUUGUUUCCCCCGUUAACGUUUAAUUUGGGAACGAGAUGCCCGGGGAUGCAACCAGCCCCGCGCUCGGAGGCGGCGGCCGGAGUUCCGUGCGCAGAGGGCACACAAAAGCCUUGAGGAUCAUUGCCUCGACCCCAUCCCCCACCGCGCGGCGACGCCCCCUACGGGCUGGGACACCUCCACCCUCGGACUGCUGCCUGGUUUCCCUCCGGCUGCGACCCUGGAGGAUUUGAUGGAAAUGCUACAAGAGAAGCAGGCUCUCCCCUUCUGAAAUGAUGAGUGAUAAUGACCAUACAGGUCAACUUUUCCACCACUUGGAGGGAGCCUGUCAAAGAACAAAGGCAACAGAGAAGAGAGCAGAGCUGAGGUUGGGUGAGAGGGAGAAAUGCCUGAGUGCUUGAAUCCCACAUGCCGGAAGCCGCACCACAUUUGGACUUCUCAAUACAG
rnacentral:lncRNA from 1 species